rnacentral:tRNA from 1 species
GCCGCGGUGGCGGAAUGGCAGACGCGCUACGUUCAGGGCGUAGUGUCAGCAAUGGCAUGGGAGUUCGACUCUCCCCCGCGGCACCA